rnacentral:rRNA from 1 species
GAUGAACGCUGGCGGCGUGCUUAACACAUGCAAGUCGAACGGUGAACGAGGGAGCUUGCUCCCUCCGGAUCAGUGGCGAACGGGUGAGUAACACGUGAGCAAUCUGCCCUGGACUCUGGGAUAAGCGUUGGAAACGACGUCUAAUACCGGAUACGAGGCGUGGGGGCAUCCCCAACGCCUGGAAAGAACUUCGGUCCAGGAUGAGCUCGCGGCCUAUCAGCUUGUUGGUGAGGUAACGGCUCACCAAGGCGACGACGGGUAGCCGGCCUGAGAGGGUGACCGGCCACACUGGGACUGAGACACGGCCCAGACUCCUACGGGAGGCAGCAGUGGGGAAUAUUGCACAAUGGGCGCAAGCCUGAUGCAGCAACGCCGCGUGAGGGACGACGGCCCUCGGGUUGUAAACCUCUUUUAGCAGGGAAGAAGCGAAAGUGACGGUACCUGCAGAAAAAGCACCGGCUAACUACGUGCCAGCAGCCGCGGUAACAC